CCCUUAAUUAAAUUCAGAUCUAAAAUAUCACAUAUCAGAUCUAAAUAAAAUAAAAUUUUAAAUUUAAUAUACAUAUAUAAUAUAUCACAACGAACCUAAGCUUUGAUACCACUGUUAGAAAGUGUAGACAAUUUCAUGCAUGUAUUUUAAAAAUUUUUUGAAAUAAAACACAAUGGAAGAUAACUAGAUUAGUCUUAUUAAUCUAACAUGCAUAUGAUCAUAUCAAUAAAUCAACCUACUCUAG
rnacentral:lncRNA from 1 species